rnacentral:rRNA from 1 species
AACGAACGCUGGCGGCAUGCCUAACACAUGCAAGUCGAACGAGAUCUUCGGGUCUAGUGGCGCACGGGUGCGUAACGCGUGGGAAUCUGCCCUUUGGUUCGGAAUAACAGUUGGAAACGACUGCUAAUACCGGAUGAUGACGAAAGUCCAAAGAUUUAUCGCCAGAGGAUGAGCCCGCGUAGGAUUAGCUAGUUGGUGUGGUAAAGGCGCACCAAGGCGACGAUCCUUAGCUGGUCGGGGAGGAUGAUCAGCCACACUGGGACUGAGACACGGCCCAGACUCCUACGGGGGGCAGCAGUGGGGAAUAUUGGAAAAUGGGCGAAAGCCUGAUCCAGCAAUGCCGCGUGAGUGAUGAAGGCCUUAGGGUUGUAAAGCUCUUUUACCCGGGAUGAUAAUGACAGUACCGGGAGAAAAAGCUCCGGCUAACUCCGUGCCAGCCGCCGCGGUAA